ACCCGUGCAUCGGUCCAUCGGCAGGAAAUUGUUAAAGUAAAGAAAAUGAGUAUUUCAUCAGAAAUACAGGCUGAGGUCAUUUCAAUAGUAUAUCAAUACAUAAAAAUGAUAGAUAAAUCCUUUGCGAAGAAUUUGCCUCGGAAAAUAAGCAAAACCCAGGAACAAGAAGUAACCCAUAUUACUAGAUAUCAUUUUAGCAUACAGAAAGUUCCAAAUUAACCAGCUGCAAAAAAUCAAGGAUGAGUUACGAUUUUUUUGAAAAUUCUGCACUAAACACUUUCAAAUGGUCAGUUGAAAACAAAGAAACAGGAAUCUUCAGAUAUCGACAAAUCAGAAGAUGAAUAACCAACUGUUACAGUUAUUUUGACGUAUGACUUGAUUAAUGACUAUGAUUAAUAGAUAUUUUACUGUACUAGUACUUUAUUAAGUUACGUAUUAAGGGAAUUGUAACAAGCAGUGCAAUCAAACGAUAUAUCUAUGGAAGUGACGAAAGCAUUGAUGUAAGGCGAGAUCUGUUUCCAUGAGUUGGGAAACCUAGUGUUGCCUAACACCUACACCAAAGGUAAAUUCAACUACAAGUAAUCAAGAAUAACAAGAAGGAAUCCUCUGAUAGCCACAGUAGAGAGGACAAUGCAACAUCAAAACUCAAAAAGCAACCAAGCAACGAGUAUGGUCGACAAGGGCAAGCUGUGUUGGUGUGGCCAAGAAGAGCACAUGGCGCAAAUGUGCAACGAAGUACAGUGAUGUGCUGUCUGUGCAGACGCUGGGAAGCCAUCAUCGCAUACGAAAGGGAAUGCUGCCCGCCCAGAACUAAAGGAAGAGUGGUCGUUGGAACCUAGACCACUCCGAGAACCGAAAGCCACCAGGCUCCAUAGGACGAUAUGGCCAUGUCUUCGUGGACGGUCAUAGCCUCCUUCAGGCGAAUGUGAACCACUGUGCCAGGGCUUAAGACCUGAUACAGUCCAUGGUGCAGUAGGAGAUAGACCUGGUGGUGGCAUGUGAGCCUUAUUGGUCGGCACAGUGGUGAUUACACUAGGGAAC